rnacentral:lncRNA from 1 species
AUCCAUAUAUCAAAACUCCAUAGCAUCCAUACAUCCAAAAUUCCAUAGCAUCCAUAUAUACAUAUAGUUCCAUAGCAUCCAUACAUACAUAGCUCCAUAACAAAUAUAGUUCCAUAGCAUCCAUUCAUUAUUCACAUACAAUUUUUUGAGCUAGAAUAUUAUUUUGUUUGUAUUAAUAUGUUACCAUUAUUAUUUUAGAUGACAAAAAAGACAACUAUGGCUCCAAAGGUUUGCUUUAUGUCUUCACGCCACAUAAGUAAACGAAGUAGAAGGGGCACGCGUUUAGGAGCAAGAGCGCGCGGUCCUUUUGAACUUCCCCUGGCAAAAGAAGCAUGAAUCAAAAGCGUUAGGGAAAGAAAACAGAUGAUUCAGAAUUACAAAUUUUGAUACAUAUUGGCUUCUAACAAAACAACACCAGCAAUGUUUGUUACAAAAUUUACGAGGUAUCAACAUACUGAAAUUGUCAACUAGGGACGACUACACACACACACACACACAGAUAUAUAUACACAUAAGCUCCAAAGAAUACAACUAAGAUUUUCAAGAGAACAUUCACAUACAAGAAUAAGCACAUGAUGUUUGGUUCCAAAUUAUAAAUAUAAGCUGCCGAUGUUGCGCGGAAUCCAAAGUAAUCCCAGCUACAUAGGUCACACGCUCACUCUAAUGAGAUGUGAUACCAAUUGUUUAAGACUGAAGGAGAGAAGCAAUGGUAUAGGCACAAACUUUCCAGUCAUGGAGAUGAUACUACGAUCAUAGUGUUCACCCUUGAUUGCAAACAAAAUCUAACUAGUAAACGCACACAAUCAGAAGCCCCUAUAUAUAAUUCCAUAAAAGUAUUAUAACAGAUGCAUCAGAACUGAAUUACCUGUGAGCAACAAUAGGAAUGAGCCUUCAGGCUGCGCGAGGAAGGAGACCGUCUUGGCAACCUUCUCCAAGCACUCAUGACUUUGCACCAGCAACCAAUCGCUAUUCCUCUAAACAAUUCAGUCAAACCUGUAAAUUCUACUCGGGAGCUAAGCAAAUGAAAGGGUUAUAGGCUAUUUCUAGAGCAGUGAUACUGAUGUUGAAGUUGUCGGUGCUCUGACAAGUAACGGGUAUCAACUCAAUACCAGUUCGCCAUUUUAUGUCCCUGUCCCAUCUGUAGAAAUAAAGUCACAAAUUGAGGACUUGCUCUGAACACCAAACAAUGAUUAUAAAACAUGCAUGCGCGCAAGAAGAUCGACAUACCCAGGGUAGUAUGGUGACGGAACAAGAAAUGCAUUUCCUGGAUCAGCAAUACAAAAGCUCAGUAUUUCCAUUGCAGGCGUCGCACCAGAUGUUAUCACCAUUUGAGAUGGAUCAAAGGAUACUGACCCUUGCGUGAUUUGCCUCAAGACUUGAAGAUUUCUUUGUACCAACUUAAUGACCAUCUAGAUAAUACAGGACAAGCAACAACAUAUUAAUGCGGAAAACAAGGUGGCAUCUCAGCAUAAUUUCUGCAUGACUUGUGCCCAAAGGGGCUCAUCAUUAAAUUUAUUUUCUGAUAUAUCAGCAUGACAGCACGUCUUAAAGUAUGCUAUCUUUAUCAUAUGAUUGAAGCCUAGUGAAAGUGUGAAACAACAAAACAAAGUGCAGACAACUGGUCUCUAUCUAGCCCAGGAACAAAUUCUAGAGCCAAACCAACAAACAGAUUACCAAGUCCUUACUCACCACAAAGGUCAAUGAUCCUCUUGGCCAACUCCUUGAUCUCCUUCUCGG